GCCUAUGCGGCGAGAUCGUUCACCGCGGACCCGGCGACCGCACGUGCAGGCAAUUUUACGGUGCAAUAACCUGGUGCGGAUAACUAUAUAGGUAUCCGGCGACCGGCGCGCGACUGAACGAGCAUGGCUCGUGCAUCAGUGCAACCGCUGCAAUGCAACCGCGAUUGCAAGCCGCCUAAUACCUAAUACUGUGUGAUAUUAUGUCGAAAUAACGCAUAUUAUUAUUACUAUGUCUUACCGUCUCCGUUAUUCGUUCAUUAAUUAUUAUUCGGUUUUUUUUGUUUUGUUUUGUUUUGCCCUACAACAACUGCGCUGUAACGAUAUAAUAUUAUAUAAUAGGUAUAAUAAUAUACACUACGGCGGUAGGUAUAAUGCACAACAAUAAUAAUAUUAAUAAACGCGUAUGUAAUUGCAAAAAACUGGCGCGUCGACGGAUCUUUCGUGUUUUUGUUAGCUUUUCCGAGUCGGCGAUAUUAUGAUAAAUAAUAUAACCCGUUUUAACAUGUUUUUUUAAUAACGACAAAAAUAAAAAAGUCCGAGAGACUUACUACAGUGGUCGUGAGGACGACGGCGACAGCAGCGGCGACGGCUCUCAAUCGUUUCAAUUUAGAGAUACAUACUCAUUGCCUGCAUACAAACUUUUGUAAAAGUGGAUCCAUAUAUGUAAUAUCAGCGUCAUUUCGUUCGACAAAAGAAGUUGAAGAAUACAUAAUAAAGCUUGCACUUAAAAAUACAUAAUAUGGAGCUGUUCCAGUAUGAACUAUUAUGAAGAAGGUCGUAUUGAAGUUUCAAAGUUUGGCUAUAAAAAUUGAAGAUAUUUCAAAUUUUUUUACUACAAAAUAAUCGUUAGUUGUAAAUUUACGUGAUUUUGAUACAUUUUGUCAAAAUUUCAACUUAAAAUGUAUAUAAAAAAAUUGUACCUAUGUAUUUUUAAUAUUUCUAUACAGAUAUAAUAUGUACAACUUAACUACUUAAGAGAUACCUAUUAUUAAAUUGUAAAGCUUUUUUUUAUUAAGCUAAAAUAUUUUCAAUUGUCAUUAAAUAGGUCAAUAUAAGAGCUAAAUUAUUAAUCUUAUGAAAAUAUAAUAAUAUAUUCAUAGUGUUAACACUUGAAAUAAUAUUUCGAGUCUUUAAGUUUAUUUGUUUUUUUAAUUAUAUAAAAAAAAUAAUGAAAUAAUUUUUGUUAAAAAUUAGUUUAGCGUAAAAAUUCUCGAUUUUUCUUAAUUUUUUCUUUGUUUUCCUCAAUUAUUAAGAAAAUUACUGGAAAAUUUUUACUUGAAGCAUUUCUACUGCAUUACAGUACCUUAAAAGAGCACAUUACAUAUACAUAGAAAAAAACACGUUUCAUUUUAAAAUAAAUUUACACACCGCUUAGAAUCUAAAAUGAAUUAUUUACAAUUUUAAGUAAGUAGGAUUUGUCAGCCUUUAUUUUUAAGAAUAUUUUAUUAUUUUAAAAAUACUUUAAAUUUUGUACUAGUAUUAGUAAUUUUUCUUUUAAUAAUAUAUUUGUACCUUAUUACCAUUAUUUAAACCUUAUAUAUAGUAAUACAAAUAUUUUUUUUUUAUGAGUACCUAAAAAAUAAUUUGCAAGCUUUUGUAAAUUUCAUGAAUUUUGUACAAAUUAGCUUCAAACGUUCAUAGAAAAAUUUUAAUUGUGGAAUCUUUCAAGUUUUACAAUUAAUAUUCUUUGAAUAAUAAUCAUAAACAACAAAUAUCGAUUAAUACAAAUAAUAUAAUAGUCAUCGUAAUAUUAUACAUUUGAAUAUCCGAUGUACCUAGUAACAUUUUAACUUCGAUUCCUCAUAAAAAGUUACUAGGGACUCCAAUUUUUUUUAUUUCUAAUGAACUCCUUUUUUAACUUAAAAAUACUUUACGAUAGUACGAAAUUCAAAAAGCAUUGUAAUUGUUGCAAGAAUUACUCGUGGAACUUUUUAUUAAAUUAUCAAGUUUUUUGAUCCAACAUUCUAACAUAAACAAUUUUAAUUAAUAAUUAUAGAAAAAAAUUAAAAAUCAAAAAUGCCUAUAAAACAAGAUUAAAUAGGUAGUUAAAAAUAGGUUAGAUUUAAUAUAACUAAACGAAUAUCGAAUAAAUUGCUUGUAUAAACAAUUUACAUAUAUUAAAAUAAAUUGUGUAAUUUUCAAGUAUCUACGAUUAAACUUUAUUCUUUUAUGAA